rnacentral:rRNA from 1 species
AGUGAUGAAGGCUUUCGGGUCGUAAAACUCUGUUGUUAGGGAAGAACAAGUGCUAGUUGAAUAAGCUGGCACCUUGACGGUACCUAACCAGAAAGCCACGGCUAACUACGUGCCAGCAGCCGCGGUAAUACGUAGGUGGCAAGCGUUAUCCGGAAUUAUUGGGCGUAAAGCGCGCGCAGGUGGUUUCUUAAGUCUGAUGUGAAAGCCCACGGCUCAACCGUGGAGGGUCAUUGGAAACUGGGAGACUUGAGUGCAGAAGAGGAAAGUGGAAUUCCAUGUGUAGCGGUGAAAUGCGUAGAGAUAUGGAGGAACACCAGUGGCGAAGGCGACUUUCUGGUCUGUAACUGACACUGAGGCGCGAAAGCGUGGGGAGCAAACAGGAUUAGAUACCCC